rnacentral:lncRNA from 1 species
GAUUGCACAUGGUUGGAAAUGAGUAUGGAAUAAUCCUUAACCUUGAAAGCACUAGGGAUUUUUAUGAAGCUCAAAGAAUUGAGGAGUACUUUAUUUCUCUUUUUCUUUUUCAUUUUUUCUUUUUCUUUCUUUCUUUCCUUUUCAUAUAUUGUUUUUCUUUUUGCUCCUCAGAACUCUUUGCAACAUAAUACUUACUUAGUAGCAGUCAGAGAUAAUGCGGUGACUCUC